rnacentral:misc_RNA from 1 species
GAUGAAGAACGUAGCGAAAUGCGAUAAGUAGUGUGAAUUGCAGAAUUCAGUGAAUCAUCGAAUCUUUGAACGCACCUUGCGCCCUUUGGCUAUUCCGAAGGGCAUGUCUGUUUGAGUAUCAUGAACACCUCAACUCUCAUGGUUUUUCCAUGAUGGGCUUGGACUUUGGGGGUCUUGCCGGCCUAUGGUCAGCUCCUCUUAAAUGAAUCAGCUUGCCAGUGUUUGGUGUGGCAUCACAGGUGUGAUAACUAUCUACGCUUGUGGUUUUCCAUCAAGUAACCUUCAGUGAUGGAGGUUCGCUGGGGCUCAUAAAGGCCUCUCCUCGGUGAGGAUGGCUCCUUUGAACGUUUGAUCUCAAAUCAGGUAGGACUACCCGCUGAACUUAAGCAUAUCAAUAAGCGGAGGA